AUAAAAGUGAAAAGAGCAGUCCAGAAAACAUCUGCUUUAGCAGUGUUGGGUCUCCCAUGGAAAACAACUGAACAGGAUCUGAAAGAAUAUUUCAGUACCUUUGGAGAAAUUCUUAUGGUUCAGGUCAAGAAGGAUGUUAGAACUGGCUAUUCAAAGGGGUUUGGCUUUGUUCAUUUUAUAAAAUAUGAAACCCAGGUGAAAGAAUGUCACAGCAACAUAAGACAGAUAGAUGAUGGUGUGACUGUACAGUUCCUAACUCUAAAGCAAACACUGAAUGAGACUUUGAGAAGCAAAAAGAUGUUUGUGGGGUGUUGUACAGAGAUUAUGAAUUCUGAUAAGCUGCAGCAGUUCUUUGGUCAUUGCAGAGAAGUGAUAGAUGUCUUCAUUUCCAAACCAUUCAGGGACUUUGCCUUUCUUACAUUGCAG
rnacentral:lncRNA from 1 species